rnacentral:pre_miRNA from 8 species
UCUCAUGCUGUGACUCUCUGGACAGAAGCGGUUUCUGUUGUCUGAAAGAAAACAAAUCGCUUCUGUCUAGAGUGUUUCGGUUUGAGA